rnacentral:rRNA from 1 species
CGCGGCCUAUCAGCUUGUUGGUGGGGUAACGGCCCACCAAGGCGACGACGGGUAGCCGGCCUGAGAGGGCGACCGGCCACACUGGGACUGAGACACGGCCCAGACUCCUACGGGAGGCAGCAGUGGGGAAUAUUGCACAAUGGGCGAAAGCCUGAUGCAGCGACGCCGCGUGAGGGAUGACGGCCUUCGGGUUGUAAACCUCUUUCAGCAGGGAAGAAGCGAAAGUGACGGUACCUGCAGAAGAAGCGCCGGCUAACUACGUGCCAGCAGCCGCGGUAAUACGUAGGGCGCAAGCGUUGUCCGGAAUUAUUGGGCGUAAAGAGCUCGUAGGCGGUUUGUCGCGUCUGUCGUGAAAGUCCGGGGCUCAACUCCGGAUCUGCGGUGGGUACGGGCAGACUAGAGUGAUGUAGGGGAGACUGGAAUUCCUGGUGUAGCGGUGGAAUGCGCAGAUAUCAGGAGGAACACCGAUGGCGAAGGCAGGUCUCUGGGCAUUAACUGACGCUGAGGAGCGAAAGCAUGGGGAGCGAACAGGAUUAGAUACCCUGGUAGUCCACGCCGUAAGCGUUGGGAACUAGGUGUUGGCGACAUUCCACGUCGUCGGUGCCGCAGCUAACGCAUUAAGUUCCCCGCCUGGGGAGUACGG